CCCCGCCCUCGCAUUCCCUCGUCGGGCCCCAUUCAUCCACAGUUUGAACCCUGACGCGAGCCCACCGAGCCUCCCGGGCGCGGGGUGCUGUCUGCGUGUCCACGCCUCUGCGCCUCCGCCCGGCCCACCUCCCGCGCAGCCUUGCGGACGGCCACCGCCUAAAGUCCCUUCUAGCCGUGGUCUCUCCCCUCCCCUGCGGGAUGCCAAGAUCUGGGGACAAAGAUCAUUAAUAUCUUUAAGGGACAGCUGUUGCCUCCUUGUUUGCCUCAUUUUGUACCCUGAGAACUUGACAUGGCUUUCUGCCUGCUUGGGGCAUGCAGGUUGUUUAUACAGGCAGCUCAACCAUCAGAUUGGGAGCCUCCCAAAUAUGGCCGGAUGGAAAUAUGGAUUGCACCACAUCUGGAACUGGAUAUGGCUGGACUGAAAUAACCAAGACUGCAUUUGAACUUCCUUGGAAGGAACCAUAGCAGAUUCUCCUCACUACCCAGAUGGCAGCCAAACUUCAGAGUCUUCAACCUUGAGUCCAGAACUCCCAAUAAAAAGGGCUCCUGCAGACUCUUGGAACUACACACCAGCUGGAGAUCCAAAAUUAAAAUUGACUAUGGAGGCUCCUCCCCAGAAGCAGAUGGCAUCUUGAGGUGGACAGCUCUCCCAAGAUCGCAGAUCAAGAUCUCCAUCUCCAAUAUAAAACCUUGAUUCUUUUUGCCUUUCUACUACCUGCUUUUUCUCUCUGUUACUGCACAGGAAGACAAUGCUCCUUAACUCUGGCAACUAUCCCUGAAUAUACCAGUAAGGCCAUGUUGGCAUAACAAAACUCCCUAGACUUUCUUGCUAGGGUGGUUUUAAAUAAUAGUGUUGCUUUAGAUUACUUAUUGGCUGAACAAAUAAGAGUUUACGUCAUAGCAAAGUAUCUAUUAUACCUGGAUCAACACUGUUAGC
rnacentral:lncRNA from 1 species